AUUCUGGCAACUGAACGUUGGCAGUAAACGCAGCUUAGUUGUCUCAGAGGACUCACAAUGGGAUGUGUUUAUAGUUGUUUCCUCGAAGUGUGUUGUGACGAGGAUCAAAUAGUGUAUCCUAAGAUGCCAGGGGAAUCCACCGUCUGCCACCGCGAGCGUGAGAAGCCAAUCACCUAUCACUGGCAUCACUGGCAUCCCGGCCAUAUAUACCCUAGAAUUGCAUCAAUGGAAGAUUACGAUGAGGACCUGGUGCAGGAAGCUUCAUCUGAAGAUGUCCUGGGCGUUCAUAUGGUGGACAAAGACACAGAGAGAGACAGUACGUAUUCUGGAAUCACCCCUAUGCUGAGGAAAAAUUCUAGUGUUGACAAAGGUGACACUUUCUUGCCUCAUUUUUUCUGGAGAGCCACUCUGGUUUGAACUUCCUGCCAGAAAUGUGGUUCAAGCACUUUUGUCUUGACAAGUGAAGAACCUGGUCAAGAAAUGUGACCGUUGACUCUGGUGCUUGGAAGGAACAGGGUCAUUUGGAUAGAAG
rnacentral:sRNA from 1 species